rnacentral:lncRNA from 1 species
UAAACAACGAUAAAUAAUUUAAAAAUCAUAUUAAUAAACAUGUUUGGAUUUUGUAAUAUUUAAAAUUGUUAUUAUAUAAUUAUAUUCGAAUACAAUUCAUCAAGUAGAGUCUAAAACUAUUGUAAUUAUCUUAUAUAAAAAUUCGUACAUUAUAUUUUGUAGUUUAUAAAUAUUAAAAGUAAUAAAUAAUACAUUAUUAAUCUUUCUAUAAUUUUGAGAAUUAGUUACCAUAAAUUAUUAUUUGUAAUAUUCUUUAGAUUAUAUGAUAAGUGAUUUUAAAUGUUUUUAGACUUACCUUAAUUUUUUUAGAUCUAAUUAAAAUAAAUGAAAAUUAAAAAUAAUCGACCAAUCAAAUUAUAAUAAUUUUUUUGAAACUUCACCUAUAACUUAUGAACGACACGUCACCCG